ACACUUUUCAUUAUUUGAGAGUCGACGACUGUGGUUGGAACUUCUCACUUUACAUGUCAUUCAAAGGUACGGCUUCCAUUUUGAACAGUUGUUCAAAGGAACUUAAAAUAAAGCUUAUUGUGGACCUACAUUGAAGCCUCAAGUUUUCAUAUAUCUUUUUUAGGCAGAGUUUUUUCAGGUAGUUUCACCGAAAAACACGACAGCUUAUCAGUGUGUAGAAUUUGAGAUAUCUUUUACAGGUAUAGUUCAGGCACAAACCACGACAGCUUAUUGUAGAAUACUACCUAUAUACACUGGAGUCUGGACCAUGUUUGACAAUUUCACUAUAUUUAUUUUCAGAGCCUAACAAAUUAUCGAGCAUAAACUAUUCUUAUUCCAACGAAAGUGCACGUUCAGAAUGAAGAACCACUUCAACGCCCUGUAUUUGUUAAUCAUCGCGACAUGCUACAUAAGCUACACCGAAGCAGCCCAAUAAUGCUAUGCUUUUACCGGGCCAAGUGGAGCUAGACAAUGUGUCAAGCUGCAGGGGUACAACGGCUACCAAUGGGCUACUUGUCGCACAAACUCGUACUUGGUACAAAUGUCGAACGGCAGGCACCACUGUAGCAUCAAGUCGCAUACAUAUUGCCUCUACCAGUGUAUGUUGAAUAAGUCAUAGGCAGCCCAAUGUUAUGGACC